AGAGGCCCCAAGCGUUACCCGGAAUCACUGGGCGUAAAGUGUGUGUAGGCGGUUGUGUUAGUCUUCUGUUAAAUUUCCGCGCUUAACGCGGAGUCCGCAGAGGAAACGGCACAACUAGAGGGUGUGAGAGGUUUAUGGAACUCAUGGUGUAGGGGUGAAAUCCGUUGAUAUCAUGGGGAACACCAAAAGCGAAGGCAAUAAACUGGCACACUCCUGACGCUGAGACACGAAAGCGUGGGUAGCGAACGGGGAUUAGAUACCCCGGUAGUCCACGCCCUAAACGAUGUCCGUUAGCUCUUUGGAGUAUCGACCCCUCUGAGGGGUGAAGCUAACGCGUUAAACGGACCGCCUGGGUAGUACGGCCGCAAGGCUA
rnacentral:rRNA from 1 species